rnacentral:rRNA from 1 species
UACAUAGGGCCCGAGCGUUGUUCGGAUUCAUUGGGCGUAAAGGGUGCGUAGGCGGCGGGGCAAGUCUGAUGUGAAAUCCCGGGGCUCAACCCCGGAACUGCAUUGGAUACUGCCUUGCUUGAGUACUGGAGAGGGAACUGGAAUUUACGGUGUAGCAGUGAAAUGCGUAGAGAUCGUAAGGAAGGCCAGUGGCGAAGGCGAGUUCCUGGACAGUGACUGACGCUGAGGCACGAAGGCCAGGGGAGCAAACGGG